GGGGCUAUAGCUCAGCUGGGAGAGCGCCUGCUUUUGCACGCAGGAGGUCUGCAGUUCGAUCCCGCACCAGCUCCACCA
rnacentral:tRNA from 1 species